AUGUUUGAUGGAGGAGGUAUGUUGUGCGUGAGUGAUGAGGUUAGCAAAGAAGAGAGAUACGGAAUUGGAGGGCGUUGUUUUCUUAGGAUGAACAGGGGAGGGCAGCAGAGUUAUGGGCAGAGAUGGGUUGUUGAUUGUGAAGUUGGUGAAUACGGUGGAUUGUUAAGCCGAAGAUUGGAGAAAGUGUGGAAGAUGGCGAGGUUGUUUCGGAAUGGAGGGAAAUUGGCGAAUUGA